rnacentral:rRNA from 1 species
UUUGAUCCUGGCUCAGGACGAACGCUAGCGGCGUGCCUAAGGUAUGCAAGUCGAACGGGGGCUUCGGCCCCAGUGGCGAACGGUCGAGUAACACGUAGACAACCUGCCUCCAAGUGGGGGAUAACAGCGGGAAACUGCUGCUAAUACCGCAUGUGGCGGGAGAGGGCAUCCUCUCUCUGCUAAAGAUUUAUUGCUUGGAGAUGGGUCUGCGGCCUAUCAGGUAGUUGGUGGGGUAACGGCCCACCAAGCCGACGACGGGUAGCGGGUCUGAGAGGAUGAUCCGCCGGACGGGGACUGAGACACGGCCCCCGACUCCUUCGGGAGGCAGCAAUGAGGAAUAUUGCACAAUGGGCGAAAGCCUGAUGCAGCGACGCCGCGUGGGUGAGGAAGUUCUUCGGAAUGUAAAGCCCUUUUGUCGGGGACGAUCCAAGACGGUACCCGACGAAUAAGCCCCGGCUAACUACGUGCCAGCAGCCGCGGUAAUACGUAGGGGGCAAGCGUUGUCCGGAUUUACUGGGCGUAAAGAGCGCGUAGGCGGAUGUUUAAGUGUGGCCUGAAAGCCCCCGGCUCAACCGGGGAUCCGGGUUGCAUACUGGGCAUCUUGAGGGGGAUAGGGGAAGGUGGAAUUCCUGGUGUAGCGGUGAAAUGCGUAGAGAUCAGGAGGAACACCCGUGGCGAAGGCGGCCUUCUGGGUCCGCCCUGACGCUGAGGCGCGAAAGCGUGGGGAGCGAACGGGAUUAGAUACCCCGGUAGUCCACGCCGUAAACGAUGGUCACUAGGUGUGUGUGGUAUCGACCCCACACGUGCCGCAGCCAACGCAAUAAGUGACCCGCCUGGGGAGUACGGCCGCAAGGUUGAAACUCAAAGGAAUUGACGG